rnacentral:ncRNA from 1 species
AUUAAAUAGAGUUUGAUCCCUGGCUCAGAAUAAAUGCUAUCGGUAUGCUUAACACAUGCAAGUUGAAUGUUUUUAAAACAUAGCGAACGGGUGAGUAACACGUGAAUUAUCUACCUUUUAAUUCGGAAUAAUUAGUUUUCUAAAAAUUCGGAAUAAAUAAAUUAAAGUUUUUUAACGUUAAAAGAUGAGUUUGCGCAAGAUUAUGGUAGUUGGUAGUUUAAAAGACUACAAAGCCUAUUAUCUUUAGCUGGUUUGAAAGAAUGAUCAGCCACAUUGGGACUGAGACACGGCCCAAACUUUUUUAAAGGCAGCAGUGGGGAAUUUUGGACAAUGAGCGAAAGCUUGAUCCAGCAAUACCGAGUGAGUGAUGAAGGCUAAUUAGGUUGUAAAGCUCUUUCAUUAAGGAGGAAAAUGACAGUACUUAAAAAAGAAGUUCCGGCUAAUACCCGUGCCAGCAGCCGCGGUAAUACGGGAGGAGCGAGCAUUAUUCGGAAUGAUUAGGCGUAAAGGGUUUGUAGGUGGUUUUUUAAGUUGAAAGAAACAAAUUAAAGCUCAACUUUAUACAUUUUUUCAAAACUGAUAAACUGGAGUAUAAAUAGAGGAUAAUGGAAUUUCUAUUGGAGUGAUAAAAUACGUUGAUAAUAGAAGGAAGACCAAUGGCGAAGGCAAUUAUCUGGGUAUAUACUGACACUGAGAAACGAAAGCUUGGGUAGCGAACGGGAUUAGACUCAAAAAGAUAAGGUGUUGUUCGCUCGUAUGUUCCCUCAUUUAUUUUCGUACGGAAGAGGGCACCCUGACGAGCCGCGGCAUAUUCCAGUGUCGUUCGAUGCGUGUAUCCGCUAUUAUGCUCAGCUCAGCACGCGAUUAUUUGCAGA